UCUAGCGCGGUUGCGGAUCCCAGGGUUUGGCCAGGUACACAACUGGCCGCAGGGCCUUCUGGGAAAUGCAGUCCAAAACCUCGCCAGGGAUCCCGUAGGUGUAGCCAAAGUGGCCUUGGAGGUGCUGUUUCCCAGAGUUGGCCGACGUGACUAUACUGACUAAACCCUGAAAUCUGCUUGGAAUUCCCUUACUCUCAAAUUCCGGACACAGUCGUGAGGCUGGCAGCCACAGAGCGUGAAAGCUGAAUGAGCGAUCGCAACUGUGGGACCUGAGCGUUUGAGAGACCCAAACCGGCUCGGGAAUGUGAACAGUCGGCCGCGAAUCCAGUCCUCCGAGACUUUGCAUAUACCAGCCAGGUGUAUUCUACUUGUUGGAGAAAGGGCAAGAGCCCUGAAUGUUUCUAAGAGAUUAGACAAGAGAAGACCUUGCCCAGAUCAUUUGAUCAACAUUUGGGCUAUAGAUUUAGAAAGCAUGCUACAUCUGGGUUCCCAACUAGUCAAAAUGAUGCCAAAAUUGGUUGUUUGCACUAGAAUUCUAUCAUAUAGUUCCCUGACUGGGAAUCCAAUUCUAUCAGAUGGUGCCGUGACUCGGAUCAGCAGGAGCUGCUAAACUUGUCACUGCUGGUUUGCAAACAAUUCCGGUCUAAUUCAUUUACCACAGAGAUAGCAGUGACACUUGGAGUUCUGAGACAGGUAAACCGACACAAGGUGGAGCUGUCUGAGCCCCCCCAUGGACCAUGCCUCAAAUGCAGCAGAAGGACAUUGGGCAAGAGAGUGCCCCAUCGUGGUGUUCCUUUGAGACCUUACCCCAGGGCUACUGGACUGUCCUAGCCACCAGAGAGUGGCCAUGCCAGAAUUCUAUCAUAUGGUUCCCUGACCAGGAAUCCAAUUCUAUCACAGAGUUCUCCAAACACAGCUUCUCUAACUUCAACUGAUCACCCAUCCUGUGCUACAACAAAACAGAAAAGUAGAUGUUGGGAGCCAUUGAAGCUGGAAAUUUACCACACCUGUGGGGGCCAGUUAGCCUUGUCAGAGAACAAAGACUGCUGGGUGCAAGCUGCAGAAACAAGUAAAAUUUUAUCUAUGAGUACAAGAGACUUUGGGAAUAUCUACUUAUCUAGGGAUGUAUCACAACCAACAGGUAAGGCCAUUACCUCAGACACUGUAGGAAACCACAGAACAAAGUCAUGUCCAUUUGCACCACCUUUCUCAAGAAAUGUCACCAAAAUCCUGGAUAAGAACAAUUACACUAAAAACAGUUCCUCAAGGCAACAAGCUCCUCCCCUCUCAGCCUUUGUUUUACCCUCACUUCCAUUUCCUGCUGAUUGCUUUCUUGGAACUCAGCCCUCUCCUACUAGGUGAAUAAACAGCCAUUGUUGCUUACACAAAGCCUGCUCUGGUGGCCUCUCUCCUCACCAUGGCUUUAACAGGAUGCAACUCAAUGAUAACAAGAUGUAACUCAAUGGAUUUGAUCCUUAGCACUGAAACAAGAAAAAGGAAGGGAAGAAGGGGAAGGAAAGGAGUCUUUGACUUAGAAAUUUUUAAAUCUCCAUUAAGCAACCCUGUGUCAAAAGGCAGAGAUGAACUUUAGAAUUUCUAAAAUAUAGAUAAUGGAAACACUACAUGUAAAAAUCUGCAGGAGAAAGCAAUAACAGUAAAUAGGAAAAAAAUGCAUGACCUUAAACAUUUACUAAGAUAAAUGAAAGAAUGAAAAGCACUAAAUACUCAAAAAGUCAGGAAAGAACAAUUUAUACUAAACAUAAAUAGAAGAAAUAAACAGUAAAAAUGAAAACAGAAUUUGAUAAGUUAAGAUGGUUAGAAAGAGAAAAUAUUAGAAAAAAGUUUAUAACUCUAGUUCAUAGAAAAAAUCAGCACCAAAGAAAAAUAACUAUCAGUGGAUUAAAUUUGUGUGUGUAUGUGUAUGAGGUACCUGAGGAUUCAAUAUAGGGAACAUUCAACUAUAUCCCGGUCUUUUAUUUUCCUGGUACUGAGGAUAAAACCAGGUUCUUCAUGCUGAGCUACAUCCCCAGUCCUUUUUAAAAUUUUUGGUUUAGAGGUAGGGUCUUGCUAAGUUGCUCAUUUGCUUAGGCUGAGCUUAAACUUGUCAUCCUUCUGCCUCAGCCUCCCAGAGUGCUAGAAUUAUAGGUGUUUGCAUGUAAUGCAUCCCCUUUUAAAUUUUAAAACAAUGUCUUGCAAAGUUGCCCAGAUUGGCCUCAAGCUUACAAUCCUCCUGCCUCAUCCUCCUGAGUAGUUGGAAUUAAAGGCAUCUGCUACCACAUAAAAGUAAUUAUUUAAUAUUUAUUUAUUAUUUUGUUUUUUGUCUUUUUGAGACAGGGUCUUGCUAUGCAGUUCAGGCCAACCUUGAUCUCACUUUGUAGCUCAGGCUGGUAUUGAACUUGCAACAGUCCUCCUGCCUAAGCCUCCUGAGCGCUGAGGUUACAGUUGUGUGCCAGUACACCUAGCUCCAAUUUAAUUUUUAAAAGAAGUACAUAAAAUAAUGUACUUCAGGAAGAAGUUAACCACUGAAGAUGAUAUGAAAAUUCACUGAAUUUUGAGAAAACAGAACUUUAAAAACUGACCCCAUCAGAAGUAAAAAGUUAAAAAAGUAAAAAGAUAAAUUGCUAGGUUUGGUUUGACUCCAUUUUGAUUUAUAUCACUGUCAUGGUUUAUGUUUGUGUCCCCCAGGCCUGAUGAGUUUGCAUUGUUCAUAUGUGAUGGUUCAUUGUAUAGUGCUUGGAUUGAUGGUGUCAGUGCUCCACCCACAUAGGGGUGGAGCCAGGAUGUGAUGUAAUGGCAGGAAGAAGGUAUGUUUUUCUCUCUUUGCUGGUUCGAGCUUGUUGUUGGCGGCCACCAUGAACUGCAGCCCAGCCAUGCCUGCCUGUCUUGGAGCCAACUGAGUGUGGACUGAAACCUCCAAAAACUGUAAGAAAUAAACCUUUCCUUUCCCAACUUUGGGCUUCAGGUAUUUUGUCUCAGCGAUGAGUAAAAAGUAACUAAGACAAUCACACUCCCCCAAAAGUAGCAGACUCAUAUAUGUUACAGAACAAUUCUACCAUUAAACAAUGAAAUCCUCUUUUUUAAAACAAUGAAAUCCUUUUUAAAAUAUUCUUUUAAAUCAUUUAUAAAGGAAAACUUUCUAAUUUCUUUUGUGAAGUGAAUGUAAUAUCAAUUCCAAAACUGAAAAUAUUCCAACUCUCUCUCACUAAUACUCUUGUGAUAUAUUUCUACCCAUAGAAUACUUUUGACACCAAAUAUGUACAAAUCUUCCUCAGACCAACAACAAACUCUGAUUCUAUGAAUACCAACUGGGUCCUCAACAGCUCAAUUGAGACAAUCAAAACGAUUGGAUUGGUUUUGUUUUGAUUUUGUAGUGCUGGGGAUCAAAUAGGACCUCAUAUAGAAGAAACAACCCUAUUCUAAUGAGAACCUCACAGACCCACAGUAUGGGUUCUACAUACCAUGUUCCACAAGAGGAACUAGAACUUCUUAGCAUAAACUUGGGACAAUCUGUUGUCCCAGAGAGCAAAUAAACUAUCAACUGUAAUAUAUCAUGACAAAAGGAAUAUGAAGUAGAGGGGGAAAAGACAAAGGAAUUUCUUACAAAGGUCUCCUACUGGCUUAGAGAAAAUAGACAUUUUAAAGAAAUGCAAUGGUUUGAAACAUAUCAAAUGCCUAAAAAAGUCGUAAGUCAUCGAGUAUUCAAAAUUAACUCAGUUUUAUGAGUUUUUAGGUUAUAGAGUACCAACUAAUUUCUCUGAAAACUAAUAUAUAACAGGGAACAAUCAAGUUAUUUAUUCUGCCUUAAGAUAACCAAAUAGAUAAUAAAGAAAAGUUCCUGGAUUCAGGGUAUACUGUAGUGGUAGAACAUUUGCCAGCAUGUUUGAGACCAUGGAUCUAAUCCUUGGUGCAAAAGGAAAAAUGAAGAAACACACACAUAUAUGUAUAUAUACACACACACACAUAUAUAUAUAUAUACACACAUUAUAUAGAGAUGUAGAUACAUAGAUUCUAACAAAUAUAAAACAAAAUCUUUUUUGUUUGUUUUUCUGAGAUAGGGUCUCAUUAUAUAGUCCAUUAUAUAGUCCAGGCUGUAAACUCAGCAAUCCUCCUGCCUCAGCCUUCUGAGGGCUGGGAUUACAGGCAUGUGCCACCAUGCCCAGUUUGGAAAAUAUUUUUAGAUGAACAUUUUUAAUCCAUAAUAAAGUAAAGGUUCAAUCAUAAUCUUUAGGCCAAUGUUUUGUAACUUUUAAAAUUAUUUAUUUUAUUUUGUUUAUUCAGGUGACAAGGUAUUGCUGUGUUGCCCAGGCUGGCAUUAACUUCUAGGCUCAGCUUCCUGUUUUCUGCCAGUUCUACACAUUUUGAAAGAAGGAGUUUGUUUAUAAGAUUGUGGUUCCCUGGCUUUGGAGAGUUGAGAAGAGAGCACUGCUUCCAUGCACAUCUCCAUCUUCCUAGAGCCACAACUCAGGGUGCUUGGACUUCCAUUAUACAUGUGUGCUUUGUAUAAAUAAAUAUUUGUAAUUUUACACUGAA